CUAGCUGGCUUGAAACGAAGAUCGAUUUGAUUUGAGGAUGAAGAAAGGAUAUGUACGUAUCCAUCACAUGAUCAUAUUAUUCGUACUCUUACAUCAUCAGUGUGAAAUUUGAGGGAAGAAAACGAAACCCUAAGAUGCCGAAGAAGAUGGGGGUGAACACGAAGGCGGAGGCGGCGAGGGCUCGGAAGAGCGCGGCGGAGACGGAGCGCAAGGAGAAGGAGACUCGAGAGAAGGAGGAACAGUACUGGCGAGAGGCCGAGGGUUCAAAGUCACGCGCCGCCAAGAAGAAGGAGGAAGAGGCCGAAAAGAGGGCCGAGGCAGCGGCGCGCAAGGCGGAGGCGCGCCGCUUGGCUGAGCUGGAGGAGAAGGAGCUCGACAAGUCCAUGAAGAAGGUCGACAAGAAGGCCAACCGUGUCUCCAUCCCGGUUCCCAAGGUCACGGAAGCCGAGCUCCAGCGCCGCCGGGAGGAGGAGCAGGCGGAGGCUCAGAGGAAGGCGGAGGAGGCUAAGAAGCGCCAGAGUCGCACCGCCGCAGAGGAGGAGUACGAGAGAAUGGUGCUUGUUUCCAACACUAAUCGCGACGAUUCCAUCAUCGAAGCAAGAACUUUGGAUGAUGCCAUCGCUCAGAUGACCAUCGUCGAUAACUUGCCCCCCGAUCGCCAUCCCGAAAGGCGUCUCAAGGCCUCCUUCAAGGCAUUUGAAGAAGCUGAGCUCCCUAAGUUGAAGGAAGAGAAACCGGGCCUUACCCACAAUCAGUACAAGGACAUGAUAUGGAAGCUAUGGAAGAAAUCUCCAGACAAUCCUCUUAAUCAAAUUGCUGAGUGAAUGAUCAAACUGCAGCCGAACUGUAACCGAAUGCAACAGCUUCUAUUUGUGAUGUGGCGGAGCCAUUUGUAGUUGGCUUCAUUUCCUUUCUUCUUAUGAUCCCUCUGUAGCAGGGUAUCGGUUUCGCUUUCUGUACAUGCACAGACAUUGUAGCCAUCAAGUUUCACUCUCGUACUGCUCUUCUCGGGAUAAAAGGGCUUCUGAAGUACAUUGUAUUUAAUUUGAUCAAAUCAUGGCAUAUCUCCCUUAAUAUAAUAAAGUAUGCGUUUGAUUAACGCCCUACACUUUUAGUUCCUACUUUGUUCCAUGUCGUCCUAUAGUUUAGAUGAGUGAAUUUUCUCCUCAUAAAUUUUUAAUUGUUAGAAUUGGAUCCCUGCCGUUCAAUUGUGGACGUAAAUGUCACGGAGAUGUCUGGCAGUGGCAUAGACUCAUGUCUGAUUUGUUAAUAGGAAAAAUCAUACGAAAUGUGCCAUGCAAAUAUACUUGCAAAUCAGGAUGGUGACUAAGCCAGUGGAGGGUAGGGGGUCCAUAGAGAAGGGUUUGCCUCACUUCCUCUGUUGACCCUCGUAAUCUCCCGAUCCAUCUCUACUCACCUCCUCACCUCCCAAAUCUAUCCUUGCCAUUAGCUAUGGGUCCGUUUACUUUGAGAAUUCAGGAAAUAAAUUGAAAACAAGAUGGUAAUUUUGUGAUUAAAAGUGAAAACAAAAAUUGAUAAUAGAAGUAAAUGGACUUUAACUGACUCUUUUAUGCAUUACGAUCUUCAUCUCCACUUGGGCUCUGAACCUUAGCAUAUCCUUCUUGAGGACCCGCUGAAGCAUCACCACUAUGAGCUUCUAUGAUUAUGUACCAAAUAAGGCUACAUAGAAUUCUGUACACAUUUUCUUGUGCAUUAGCUAUAUACUUCAUGCAGAAUAAUGCGUUGACUUUGUCAGUUUCUAGUAUUGUAUAUUCUUACCAAAGACAUUGUUGAAGGGAAAAAAAAAUUGCCUUAAUUUCAGUCAUUUGAAUAGGCACGAUACCUUGACCAUCAUAAAAUAUUUCUCAACAUCUGUAUAGCUUUCUUUCAUGUCACCCCCUUUGAGCCUGCUCCACUCGUUAAAUACUUAAGUGGGUUGUGUUCUGAUCCUACUGUAAUUGGUCUAAGAAAUGAACAGAUUCUUUCCAGAUAGCACUCGUCAAUCCUUUCAUCCAUAGAGACCCAAAUGCUUCUCUCUGCAUUCAACUCGUCAUGGUGGAAUGAUAGUGGGAGAAGUAAAAUUACUGUGUUUCAUUUUACUGUUUUAUUAUUACUAGUUGAAUGUC